UUUUUACAUUUAUUUUUUAGUAGCAAUAUUACUUCCUAAGUAGAAAGUAGGUUUGCGCUCCCCCAUUGAAUCGUUUUUUUCUUUUCUUUUUUUACGGUUGCAUUCUCAGAAUCAAGUGUCAGUUUACAAUUACUUUUCCCUCAAUACCCUUUGUACAGCGCUACGGAAUCUGAUGGCGCUAUAUAUAUAAUAAAAUAAUAAUAAUAAUAC